CUGGGGAAUAAUGAUCUUAAUGAUACAAAAUUUGGUAAUGAAAAUGAAAACUAAACCUUAGGCCUUAAUGGAAAUUCUACGUAAAACAAACCGAUAAUCUCAAAGUUUUUUUACAACCUUACGUUAUCUGUAAGAUAAGUCAACCAAACAAUGCCCAUCUUAUUAUUAAAUGUUUGGUUGCCCAAUCAAGUUGUACAAGUAAAGGUUGUGGCUAAAUAUUUAAAAAAAAGGACUAUAAAAACAUCAGAGUCAUGAUAUAAAAGUAGGAUCUUCAAUUGCGACCUCCACUCUCUUUUGCUUUUCGUUUACCGCUACCUUUUACCGCUGCGUGAUGUUUUUGCCAUCGCAUCUUCUUUUACUUUGGAUUCCUCUUCACUUUAAUGACGACAAUAAAGUGCAGCUUAUUGAAAUUAAACCCGUCCAGCGAUUUGACAACCUUCAAAGUCGCACGUACAGUUUCCAGUAGCGAAUCGGAGGAGGAGAAAGAGAAGAAGCCAGUAAACGGAAAAGCAUAAGGACAGUGGGAGGAAUGGGCAGGAGGGAGAGAAAUGUUCUUGUGACCCACAUAGCGACUUGUUCUUGUUGCACCGGCAAAAAGCCAACGGAGAGUCCAAAGAGAGGAUACGUGUGUGCACUGCGGAAAACUUCUCCGAAGUUGCGCAGACAUUUUACAUAAGUUUUGUAUAUAAAACCAAGCUUUGCUUCGUUUUCAAUCGACGAAUAAAUAUUGCUUUAGUA